rnacentral:rRNA from 1 species
GACGAACGCUGGCGGCGUGCCUAAUACAUGCAAGUAGAGCGCUGAAGAGAGGAGCUUGCUCUUCUUGGAUGAGUUGCGAACGGGUGAGUAACGCGUAGGUAACCUGCCUUGUAGCGGGGGAUAACUAUUGGAAACGAUAGCUAAUACCGCAUAACAAUGGAUGACACAUGUCAUUUAUUUGAAAGGGGCAAUUGCUCCACUACAAGAUGGACCUGCGUUGUAUUAGCUAGUAGGUGAGGUAAUGGCUCACCUAGGCGACGAUACAUAGCCGACCUGAGAGGGUGAUCGGCCACACUGGGACUGAGACACGGCCCAGACUCCUACGGGAGGCAGCAGUAGGGAAUCUUCGGCAAUGGGGGCAACCCUGACCGAGCAACGCCGCGUGAGUGAAGAAGGUUUUCGGAUCGUAAAGCUCUGUUGUAAGUCAAGAACGGGUGUGAGAGUGGAAAGUUCACACUGUGACGGUAGCUUACCAGAAAGGGACGGCUAACUACGUGCCAGCAGCCGCGGUAAUACGUAGGUCCCGAGCGUUGUCCGGAUUUAUUGGGCGUAAAGCGAGCGCAGGCGGUUUGAUAAGUCUGAAGUUAAAGGCUGUGGCUCAACCAUAGUUCGCUUUGGAAACUGUCAAACUUGAGUGCAGAAGGGGAGAGUGGAAUUCCAUGUGUAGCGGUGAAAUGCGUAGAUAUAUGGAGGGACACCGGUGGCGAAAGCGGCUCUCUGGUCUGUAACUGACGCUGAGGCUCGAAAGCGUGGGGAGCGAACAGG